rnacentral:rRNA from 1 species
AUGUUGACUAAUCCUACUGAUGGUCUUUAUGAGUCUUGUGAUGAUGCAGGAAACAGCGGUAAAAAAAUCGCAGCAAAUGGUGAAGAAAACAGUGCAGCAGCUCCAUAUUUCAUGUGUCCCAACCUGAGCAACAAAUCCUCCUCGGGAUUUGGGCAGGUGCUGCCGCCGCGCAGCGCAUCCACCUCGGGAUCGGAGCUCUGCCGCGGAUCUGCUCCGUCCGCACCAGCCACGCGGCGGGCUCUGGAAGGCCGCGGAGAUUCUCCCCAGGCGCACCAAUCGCCGCCAGACAGAUGGCGGGCCGGCGCUGGCCUGGACCGCGCGCGGCCUCAGGCCCAACAGCUUGUUUACAAGCGGCGAGCUGCGACUCGUGCGACGAGCGCGGGGACAGAUCCUGUCAAAGCAGGGCCCAGGCCGACCAGUCUGAUCCAGGCGCGGGAUCCUUUGCGCCGAGGGUCUUUGCAGUACCUCCUGCCACUACUCCACGUCGCACACGGCUACAACAAGGUUUAA